CUUGGCUCUUUUGAGACCCUGACGGACGACGUCAGCGGCUUUUCGUCGCUUCUCUCCUUGGAGACGUCGUUUAGGCAUCCCCUUGCCGAACCACUCGAACAAUUGGUGCAUGCACGCUCUAGAUUCUCAUCCUCUUGUGGCGGCGUCCUAGGUGUUUUUUUGGCGAUCUCGUCUAUGAUUCGUUGUUGGCGUAGUGGCGACCGGUCCGGUGUCAGCCUUCUCCUGGACCUGUGUGUUGGCGCUGUCGGUGUGUGGGUGAUGGUAUUUUUCCCCUUUUUUCUUGGUUACGAUCUACCAAGGUUUUAAUCCUGUAUUU
rnacentral:lncRNA from 1 species